rnacentral:misc_RNA from 1 species
GAUGAAGAACGCAGCGAAAUGCGAUAAGUAAUGUGAAUUGCAGAAUUCAGAGAAUCAUCGAAUCUUUGAACGCACAUUGCGCCCGCCAGUAUUCUGGCGGGCAUGCCUGUUCGAGCGUCAUUACAACCCUCAGGCCCCCGGGCCUGGCGUUGGGGAUCGGCGGAAGCCCCCUGCGGGCACAACGCCGUCCCCCAAAUACAGUGGCGGUCCCGCCGCAGCUUCCAUUGCGUAGUAGCUAACACCUCGCAACUGGAGAGCGGCGCGGCCACGCCGUAAAACACCCAACUUCUGAAUGUUGACCUCGAAUCAGGUAGGAAUACCCGCUGAACUUAAGCAUAUCAUAAGCGGAGGA